CGCAGCCGCGGUAAUUCCAGCUCCAAUAGCGUAUAUUAAAGUUGUUGCAGUUAAAAAGCUCGUAGUUGAAUUUCGGGGUCGGUAGGUUGGUCAUGCCACUGGUAUGUACUGGUUUCACUGAUUCCUCCUUCCUGAUGAACUGUAAUGCCAUUAAUUUGGUGUUGCAGGGAAUCUGGACUGUUACUUUGAAAAAAUUAGAGUGUUUAAAGCAGGCUAACGCCUGAAUACAUUAGCAUGGAAUAAUGAAAUAGGACGUUCGAUCCUAUUUUGUUGGUUUCUAGGAUUGACGUAAUGAUUAAUAGGGAUAGUUGGGGGCAUUAGUAUUCAAUUGUCAGAGGUGAAAUUCUUGGAUUUAUUGAAGACUAACUACUGCGAAAGCAUUUGCCAGGGAUGUUUUCAUUAAUCAAGAACGAAAGUUAGGGGAUCGAAGACGAUCAGAUACCGUCGUAGUCUUAACCAUAAACUAUGCCGACUAGGGAUCGGAUGAUGUUAAUUUUUAAUGACUCAUUCGGCGUCCG
rnacentral:rRNA from 1 species